rnacentral:rRNA from 1 species
UACGUAGGGGGCAAGCGUUGUCCGGAAUCAUUGGGCGUAAAGCGCGUGUAGGCGGUUCGAUAAGUCUGCUGUGAAAGUCCAGGGCUCAACCCUGGGAUGCCGGUGGAUACUGUCGGGCUAGAGUACGGAAGAGGCGAGUGGAAUUCCCGGUGUAGCGGUGAAAUGCGCAGAUAUCGGGAGGAACACCAAUUGCGAAGGCAGCUCGCUGGACGUCACUGACGCUGAGACGCGAAAGCGUGGGGAGCAACAGG